CGCGGGGUGGAGCAGCUGGUAGCUCGUUGGGCUCAUAACCCAGAGGUCGGAGGUUCGAAUCCUCCCCCCGCAACCA
rnacentral:tRNA from 1 species